CGUGAAUGAAGAAGAAGGCUACGAUCAAGGGUUGAUCGAGGUUCUACUGGAGAUCUGAUCGAAAGCUAAUCUAAUAGCUUGUUGAUCUUCUUGGAGAUGAUGAAUCAAAGUUGAGAAAGCAUCCUAGUCCAAGUCUUAAUGGAUAUCUGUAAAGAUCAGAUACAUGUGCAGCUCAACAGUGAACCUCAACUCCACGAUCAUCGAACAACGGUGUUCACUAUCCAUGCAAAGGUGAUGAUGCGAUCAUCAUGAUAAUAAUCUGAUUUAAAAUUAUUUUAAAUUCUCUUAAUCUUAGAUUCAUGAAUGAUCUGGCACAGAU
rnacentral:lncRNA from 1 species